AACCAUGCUGCGUGUAGAGUGAGUUUAUAUGCUGUACGCUUUUUUUGUCCUAUCGUGGUAAUCAUGCUGAUUCCUUCUAAGAUAUCGUUAGUGGAAGAUAUAAAAUAGGGAAGGAACAACAGCAGCAGUAGGAUCGAUGAUGAAGAAGAAAAAAAAGGUUAUGAAAUAACAUGCGCGAAGCCGUGCGAGGAACAUGCAAAAAUUGUAGGGGGGAAAUCCUGUCGAUGCCGGAGCGGGUGGUAGGGGGUGUACCGCAGCAGGCUAGAUGACAAAUGUAGUGCCAGUCCGGGUGCCAGUUCAUCACCAGAAGUCCUUGCGAAACGAAUCGCGCGGGAUUCUCGGCCGAUGGAAGCGAAAAGUAGUCAAAAGUGUGUGUGUGAAUCGAAAUCAAGCGAAGGGAAAUCGCUGCAGGAAGUUAAAUUAGUGACAAUUAUGGAAAGCAUCUCUUUGGCGCGUCGGUGGCCGAAGACGUGCUGUGUGCAUAAAGAGGUGAUUUUUUUAUUGAGCUGACUUUUCGAACAGUGGCGCCAUUUGCCGUCUGCGGGAAACAUGACGGGAAAUAAGAGAUGCGUUGUUUGCUACCCGGCUGCCAUCCAGUGGGGAAAGUUGGAACCCCAGGCGGAGUGAGACUUUGAUAAGUGACCGUGUCUUAUCUGAGGUCGAGAGACGAAGGAACAACAUCCAGUGGAAGCUGGAGUGUAGAUACUAUGUAGUCCCUCUCACUGUCCCGUGAUAGGGUCUCGAACUGUUCCGAAGUGAAAGCGAGUGUUUUUGUGUGUGCUGAUAUGAUUCAUGGUUGCAGCGUAGGACGGUCAUCGGUCGGUUUGCUCGGGACGGCGCGUGUGAGUGGUUUUCCUGUGAAAUGCUAUCACUGAUAACGAAAUUCGAUGGGAGAGGACGGGCGACAGACGGCUGUAGUGCGGGUCCCUCCCCCUCCCUAUCACCAUCCUGGCUCUGAUGGAAGAGUCCAACACAGUAGUGGAGGCUCGAUAAGACAACGACAGCCGGUUCUCGCAUUCGACAUGUGAACGACUUGUUAAUAUGACAGUUCAGUACACAGACGUGAUGAGCAAUAGGAGCGAGUGGAGGAACAAAUAAAACAGACUUUCGCGCCGUGUAGACGGUUUUCCAGUGGAGCAAACCUGUGCCGAUUCCGAACUCGUUAACCGAAGCCCCUCUCAGCAGAAGUGGAAACGAGCGCCUGGCUGUGUGGUGGAGCCUUUCGUGCAGUCAACAUAGUUUUUGCUCCGACAGUUGCUCGGUGGAGCGCAGCAAGUGCGGACUGCGGUAUUAGCAGUAACAACAACAACACCGUCAUCAUCAUCAUCAUCAUCAUUCGGUAUUGGCGUCAUCGGUAGUAGAGAAGUAAAAAGUAGUGUUUGAACAACGAAUUAGAGAAGAGUUUGUCGACGAACCGAAGAAAAAAAAAGUAAUCACAAGACACGAGCAAGUGAAAACAACGCCAACCGCCUGUGGUGUAGUGGAACUUCGAAGUUUCCUCUGUAACUGACAAUCAAAGUGAUCCUUGCAAACAGUUUGAGAAUAAAAACCAAUCAGUGAUACCAAGUGACCGUCCACCCUUUGGGAUUAUCCAAUUGUUAAAUCGUCCAAGUGUAUCAAGAUCCAGUAGAUUCCAGUAAAAUGCGAGCGAACCUGUCAAACGAUAGUCACAACGUCCACUCCAUCUCCAUCGAUGUCACCGCUUUCCCCUUCAGGUGAGUGUCAACAAAAACAUUACAUUGUAGCCAAACUUCGACCCGGCAGGUUAACGGGUGCAAUCCAUCACAUAAACUGAUGGAUCGGUUGUCCAAUGUUGACGUCACGAUUCUCAUCACCAUCUGCGGUAGGAACCGCGGAAUCGCCUGCACGGCCUGCACCGCUGCUGGUACAGUCAGUCGCCCGUCAUAUUUAACCUUUCCGCAGCACGCACGUUUGACGUUUUGCUAUAGCGCGUCGGUGAUCGGAUCCGCAUCAUCACGUGUCAAACCGGGCCAUUCGAUACACCCGGUUAUUGCUACACUGACUGACUGUACGCAAACCAUCAUUACCAUGUUGUUGUUUUUUUUUCUUCUGCCGAUUGAUCGUCAUUGCCAGCCAGCCGCACUGUCAACUCGACUGGGCUUCUUGGCUCAACCCCAUAAUUAUGAAUCGAAACCCACGGAGUUCGUGUCCGGAAGGUUUUCUGCCGCUCUAACCACGACGAGCAACGGCCGGCAGAAAAGUGCUCCAGCAAGACAGAAAUUCAAUCCAUCCUUUUGUCCUGGGCGAUAGCUGUCAAAAUUGCGGUGUAUCUGUCAGUGCCAGAAUGGAGAGGAUCCAACGUUGAGGUUAUGUUACACAGAUGCACGCUCGCGCUUGUGCGUGUAUGUGUGGUGCCGCGGGUUCAGUGGCCGGGGUUUGCGUCGUCGUCGGUCGUGGCGAAGAAAAUAUGAUGAUGAAUUUUAAAUAUUUUAAACUCGACACGACAUUCUGACCGAACUCGGAGCAUGAGCGGAAAAGCAAAGGCACAAAAUUGCUGCCUCGGCGACGACGACGACGGCUCAAAAGUGCAAUUUUCUGCGCGAAGGCAAAACCAGUAGCAAUAUUUUAUGGAUUUCCAUGUAGUUUUAUUUUGUUUUUUUUUUGCGCGCGAUUUGACUCUUCUUCUUCUUGCGCGCAGUCGUCGUGAUCUGACAUCUAGGUCAGAGUCUCUUCGCGACGAGGUAGGUGCGAUUAUACAUGGACAAUUUCGCGAUUUGUGCACGGUUGCAGUUUUUGCGUGAAAUGUAGCGCGACCGCGGCUACUGAAGUGCGAUCACGUCAGAUCUCGAUCCAUAUUUACAACCCGUGAGCCGGUCGGUUGGUCGGUUGGUCGCGAUUGAACGUCUGCUGUAUGGCGAUCCGAUUCAAUGACUUUUGCUAUAGUAGCUAUCAGACGCGAACCUGUUGCAAUCCGAUUCCCAUCCCAUCGUACAGUCCACACGGCAGAAGCUUUACCCCCUUUCGAUGCUCGAAUUACCGCGGCCAUGUUCGACGCACGUAACGCCGGUGGGUAAAACGUGUUUAUUAUAAAACCAUUGCCAGCGAAAUUAUAUGCAUCCAUGACGCGGUCGAACGCGGAAUCGGACCGAAAAAAAAAUUGUGGCCAGCGGGACUGGCCGCUCAGUGCACUAUUUUGUUGGAAGGAAGGUGGCAAUUUUUGGCUGCGAGAUUAUGAAUUAGCUCACGCUAAGGUGGCCAACGUUUUGCUUUUUUUGGGAACAGUUCGGUGUCAAUUUUCUCACCGUCCAGUUUUGGUGCAAAUAAUGCCACCUGUAAGGUACUUCAAAUAAUUAAAUUUGACGUUUUUAAUGCAGGACGCUUCAUUGUAUGAGCCCUUGAUUUAUGAUGAAGCGUGACGUGAACUAGUGAUAGUCGAUUUUUUUCGCAUGAAAGAUCGUUCGAGUGCGUGAAGAAUGAUGACGUUAUUCUCUUUCUGUUGAACAUAACCCAUUUUAUUGGGGGCGUUCCGAACGCUCCAAAAGACGCUGAUUUGUGAUUAAUGAUUCCUGAUGUUAACGCUGGAAGCUGAUCGACGGCUUGGAGCCGCUGUCUGUAAGCGGUUCGGUGCAAUGGUGACUCAUCUGGACAGACAGGUUGAUAAUUUUGACUUUUAGCUUCGUUGUAGGUGAUAAAAUUUUGAUUAUCAUUUUGUUGAAUUUUGUGUGUCAUCUACUCGCUAAAUUGGACUGAGGAGAAUAAUUCUCUCAUAAAAACGAUAAUCUAAUUUCGAAAAACUGCUGAACUUUUUAAUUAAGGCUAGGUAAAUGAAGUUAAUUGGUUGGCUACUACAAAUUGCUUGCCAAAUAAAAUAUAUUUAUUAUUGUUGAAGGGCGUCAUUCUAAAAUUUGUAAAUCAGAGCUCACUACGAAAUUGUGACAUCAUUUUAAGAGAUUAUCGCUUAAAAUAAUAUUCAUUGAUGGAUUGUCAUCAUGGAACAAUAAAUCGUUUCCAAAACCUCCAAGUUAAAAAUCCAAGUUCAAAAGAAUUACAUUUGUGAACUCUUAGCAAUUCUGAAGGAUAAAAUGAAAUUUCGAAUGAACUAUGCGGGUUUCCUUGCACGCCUAACGCACACGUAUCAUUUCUCGAUAACACACAGCUAGCGAGUGCAGGGUCUGCCCCGAAAUCGACGAUCUCUUCCAGGUUCUCUGCUGAACAUAACAUUAGCUGGUCACUCUUCCGGCAUUCGCGCUAUUUGUCUAGCGCACAGUAGUCUACCGGGCUUUUUUAGCCGUGCAGAAUAACAGGGAGUUUCAGCGAUUUCGAUUGAACAAGUUUUUUGUGCGUCUGUAGGCUUGCGAAUUUUAGUUGACUACGCUAACCAUAAAAAGUCCCGUUCGCAUCGGCAACACGCCUUUCCACCUUAGAACCAAUACCGUUCGGAACAAGCUACCAUAUGCUUGAUGCUGGGACAUUAGGCCGAACUUAAUUCGACAUGAACAUUAGGCCGAAUGGAAAAUAGGCCGAAUGGACGUUAGGCUGAAUAGACAGUCGGCAGAAUGUACAUUAGGCCGAAUGGGCAUUAGUUCGAAGGCCAAGAAUCCGAAUGUUUAACAGUGAGGGCGAACAGAAAUCGAAGCUUAUUCUGCUGAGCUUUCGGGCAAUUUCGGUCAUUAUUUGCUUUGCUUGCUGCACAAUUAUUUGCUCACUUCCUCAUUUUUAUCAUGAGCUAGUCGUCUAAAAUGUAGUUCCCUCAAUAGUGCACUAGCUUCGAACUGUCUGCAUGAAUACAUCUAGCUACAUCGACUAAAAUGUUGAACACAACUAUUUUUUAAUCCCAUUUAUAAUUAGUAAUACGAGAAUACCAAAAUAUUAAAGUCUACGUAGACUUGCAAAUAGACCCCACUCUUCCCCAUCUUUGACAAACGUAGACUUUUGCUAGAGUCCCCUGUCCCCCAUGAGUUACGUGGUUUAUGAACGGCCCUUAUGCAGCGAAAACGAUGACGAAAGUAUGCUUAACAUCUAGUUUUAAAAUUCAAAAAAUCGCAAAAAUUCACCCUACAUUUACAACGAACCGUUGUUUUAAAUCUUGUGUUCAGUUUCGACUACUCUAUUUGGUUCUCUCUUUGUUUCAAGGCUAAUAGGCUUAGUUACGAUUCGGCUUA